rnacentral:rRNA from 1 species
GGUGGUUUGUCGCGUUGUUCGUGAAAUCUCACGGCUUAACUGUGAGCGUGCGGGCGAUACGGGCAGACUUGAGUACUGCAGGGGAGACUGGAAUUCCUGGUGUAGCGGUGGAAUGCGCAGAUAUCAGGAGGAACACCGGUGGCGAAGGCGGGUCUCUGGGCAGUAACUGACGCUGAGGAGCGAAAGCGUGGGGAGCGAACAGGAUUAGAUACCCUGGUAGUCCACGCCGUAAACGGUGGGUACUAGGUGUGGGUUUCCUUCCUUGGGAUCCGUGCCGUAGCUAACGCAUUAAGUACCCCGCCUGGGGAGUACGGCCGCAAGGCUAAAACUCAAAGAAAUUGACGGGGGCCCGCACAAGCGGCGGAGCAUGUGGAUUAAUUCGAUGCAACGCGAAGAACCUUACCUGGGUUUGACAUGCACAGGACGCCGGCAGAGAUGUCGGUUCCCUUGUGGCCUGUGUGCAGGUGGUGCAUGGCUGUCGUCAGCUCGUGUCGUGAGAUGUUGGGUUAAGUCCCGCAACGAGCGCAACCCUUGUCUCAUGUUGCCAGCGGGUAAUGCCGGGGACUCGUGAGAGACUGCCGGGGUCAACUCGGAGGAAGGUGGGGAUGACGUCAAGUCAUCAUGCCCCUUAUGUCCAGGGCUUCACACAUGCUACAAUGGCCGGUACAAAGGGCUGCAAUGCCGCGAGGUUAAGCGAAUCCUUUUAAAGCCGGUCUCAGUUCGGAUCGGGGUCUGCAACUCGACCCCGUGAAGUCGGAGUCGCUA